AUUCCCAUGGGGCCAAUCUGAGGCCUGCGUGACACCUGUAAUACCUUUUCAGGGUGGCCAUCCUGCAGGCAGACAGCAGGAAGGACUGCGAGGAGUGGAUUGCUACCAUUAACAACAUCUCAAAGAGGAUCUAUCUCAGUGAAAACCCUGAGGAAAUUGCCGCCCGUGUGAACCAGUCGGCUUUGGAGGCAGUGACACCGUCGCCCUCCUUCCAGCAAAGGCACGAGAACAUGCGGCCAAGCGCACCAGGCCGCCCCAAAGCAACGCGCACCAGCAGCCAGGGCUCCGACUCCCCGGCCCUCUCCUCUCUCUCCUCCCUCUCCCUGGACUCCCUAGUGGCUCCCAACACGCCCAUCCAGUUCGACAUCAUCUCGCCUGUCAGCGAGGAAUGCGGCGGCCAGGCGAAGAGCUCCGGGCAGGCGGGCAGGUCUGGUCCCUCACCACCGUCCCACAAGCCCUGUGAUGCACACAGGUGUAUACACGUAGGCCAGGAGUCGCCUGGAGUCAUGUGACCACACAUACAACCACACACAACCACACACUUGUAGCAGGCAGGAGAUUUGCUGUCAUUGGCUCAUAUCAUUCAAUGCAUUUGAAUAUAUGGGGCUCUUAGGGUAUGUGAAAGCUGUGCUGAAUACUUAAAAAUUUUAUUAUUAUGCAGUUUACAUCAUUUUAACUUAUGACACAUAAUUCAAAGAAAAAAUAACCAGAGGAUAUAUGGCGUUAUUUUUA